AUGGCACUGCUCUUCCCGCCCCCGGCCCUCUCACCCAAACCCCCCUUCCCCUCCACUCUCCGAUCGACGCGGCCGCGGCGCACCACCUGCAUCAGCAGCGUCUCCUCCCCUCGCCCUCCCGCUUCAGCGCCCUCCCCAUCCACCUCCUCGCCGUACAAGGCGCCGGCGCUAGACGGCGGCACGGAGAUAAGGAAGAAGAAGACUAAGAGGAACCUGAAGCCGAGCUUCGAGGAGCAGGCACUCCGCCGCUGGUCUGCGAGGGCGCCCUCCCAGCGCGCCUCCUUCCCCUGGCAGCGGCAGCAGCCGCAGCCGUCUCACCGAGAAGACGAGGGCGCGGAGGAUCAUGAGCCCAGUAGCGCCACGCUGCGGUCCAUCGUCGAGUACUUCGACUACGACUCCUCGGAGGAUGGCGGCGGCGAUGUCGGAGAGGGCAAAGACAAGGGCAAUGACGGCGUGGCACACGGCGAGGCGGCCCAGGACCGGGACGAAGAGUCGCGUUCCCAACCGACCUACCUUCUUGGGAGCCGGCCGGUCUCCGCGCCGUGGAUGCACGGGCAAGAAGGACCCACCGUCGUCGACCGGCUGCUUUCGGGUCCGGUGGGUGGAGACGAGGAAGAGGCUGUCAGGAACGGUGUGUUCGAUGAUGAGCUAGAUUCGGAGGAUGAAGACGAAGAAUGGGUGGACAACAGUGAGGUAUUGGAAGAAGAGCCAAUGACAGUGAACUUAGAAGAGGAAUUGUAUGAGGAUGAGGAUCCUGCCGCGCCGACAACAAGUUCUUUUCCGCUGGAUUCUAUACUGGACCAAGGUUCCACAGGCGGUGGGUUGGACAGGAGUAUCAGGCGAAGCAGUGUAAGCUCAAUUGUCAACACACUCAGGAAUUCGAUGGAGGAAAGUGCCAGUGCCACAAUUGGGAGCUCCGAGGGGGAAGAUUUUGUCCAGAAGCUGGGUUCUGUGCUCCUUCCAUGGGAGAGGGAGGAGGGGAAUGCGGUUGAUGGUGACAAGCGAGGGAGGCACAGCAACACCAAGUUGGCAGAGAGGACUAUCCCAGAACCAGAGCUGCGGAGGCUUAGAGACGCGGCAUUGAGGAUGAAGGAGAGGAUGAGGAUUGGUCCAGGAGGGGUUACACAUGCCAUUGUGGAGAGCAUCCACAGUAAAUGGAAGGUGGACGAGGUGGUCAAGAUGAGGUUUGAAGGGCCUCCGAGCCUGAACAUGAAGAGAACCCAUGAGAUACUAGAGGACAGGACUGGGGGAACUGUGAUAUGGAGGUCAGGGAGGUCGAUUGUCUUAUAUCGAGGAAUGAACUACAACCUUCGAUGCGUGCAGUCAUACACCAAAAUUGCAGAAGUUGAUUCAUCUGAAAAUGCUGGCGAUGCCAUUGGUCUUGUACCCAGCUCUGAAGAGCGUAACUUGCAAAAGCCAACUGUUGAGCAUGAUUUGCAAAAGCCAAUUGUUGAGCGCAAUUCACAAAAGUCAAGUGCAGACGAUGUGAAAAGAUUGAAAUCUAUCAUGAAUUUCUCUCAAGAAGCUACGGAAACGUUUGACAUCGAUAGCUUCUUGGAUCAAUUGGGACCACGGUACAAGGAUUGGUCUGGUCGCAGCCCCAUCCCUGUCGAUGCCGAUUUGCUUCCCGGUUUAGUUCCAGGGUACAAGCCACCAUUUAGGCAACUUCCUUACAGGACUAAAAUUAGUUUGAAAGAUAAGGAAAUGACAGCUUUGCGUAGACUUGCUAGACAAACUGCUCCACAUUUCGCUCUAGGGAGAAACAGGGAACACCAAGGCUUAGCUGCUGCUAUUGUUAAAGUAUGGGAGAAAAGUUCUAUUGUAAAGAUUGCCAUCAAGAGGGGGGUGCCAAACACAUGCAACGAUCGAAUGGCAGAGGAAAUCAAGAAAUUGACAGGAGGAGUACUUGUUUCGAGGAACAAGGAGUAUAUUAUUUUCUAUAGGGGAAAUGACUUCGUGACUCCUAAAGUAAGGAAGGUCUUGGUGGAACAGCAACAACACGCAAUUACUCAGCAGGAACAGGAAGAGCUGGCCAGGCUUAAAGCAUCAGCCUCAAUUACUCCCAUCCCCAAAGCAUUAAAGAAUCCUCUAGUUGCUGGCACUCUUGCAGAAACUAGAGAAGCCACAUUUCGUUGGGGAGAUUCACUUAAUGACGAGCUGAGGAAAAAGGAGAAUAAUCGUUUGAUUUUGGCCAAACAUACCUCUCUUUUGAAGAACAUGAAGAGAAAACUGAUUUUGGCGAAAACAAAGGUUGCAAAAGCAGAGAUGGCUUUGGCGAAAGUUCAGGAAUAUCUCUCUCCAGCAGAGCUUCCAACUGAUCUGGAAACUGUUACAGACGAGGAGCGUUUCCUAUUCCGCAGAAUUGGCCUGAAAAUGAAGGCCUUUUUGAUGCUUGGCAGGCGAGAAGUUUUUGAUGGUACUGUGCAAAACAUGCACUUUCAUUGGAAGCAUCGAGAAUUGGUCAAAAUUGUUGUGAAGGGAAAGACCUUUGAACAAGUUAAACAUAUUGCUAUCUCCCUAGAAGCUGAGAGUGGGGGCGUGCUCAUUGCACUCGACAAGACAACAAAAGGAUAUUCAAUCAUUUUCUACCGUGGUAAGAACUAUAAAAGGCCCCAAGUUUUAAAGCCACGGAACCUAUUGACAAGAAGACGGGCAAUGGCACGGUCCAUUGAGCUCCAAAGACGAGAGGCAUUAAAUCAUCAUAUCUCAGUUCUGCGACACAAGAUCUGGAAGUUGAAGUCACAGCUUGUACAGAUGAGGGCUGCUGGGAGAAAACAGGACGCAGAGUUACUCCAAACGGUCGAGGACGAUUUGUCUUCAGAUGACGAUAAUAUACAGGAUGAAGGGGAUGAAGCUUACCUGCAAACUUACGGCAGCGACGAUGAGGAUGAUGCCGACGAUGAUUCCAAUGAAUAUCUCUGA
rnacentral:rRNA from 1 species